GUGAAAGAGGUUUUAUUUAAUAAAAAUAAAUCACCAAAACACACACCCAAGUGUGUGUUCUGGUCGUGAGUUCUAACAGGAGAAAAAGGGGUUUCCCUAAUGAACCCUAAAAUACACAAAAUCAACCAAAUCAAGAGGGCAAAUCAAGUCUAAAUCGAAAACCAAGCUAGGAUUAGUGAUCACUCGGGCUAGAGGAUCACAAGUUUGACUCUGACAAGCUAGGUAGGAGCUUGGAAAUGAACGGGUCAAAUGGAUACAAGUUCAAGUAUGAGGCUCGCAAGGAUGCAAGGUAAGAUAAAUCGGCUUAUGAAUUAGCGAUGCUAUGAAUUAGCGAUUAUUGAGACAAGGUAUUAAAACGGGUCAAUAUGUUGAUCCGAACCAGGUACGCAUAUUGUGAGUUAUAGAUAAGUAUACAGUAGAUUGUGCAUAACCAAGGGGAAAGAUUUAAACUUAAAAGGUUUAAAUCUUCGAAGUGGGUCAAAAGAAUUAUGCGCAUAGAUUGGGUACUAGCUGCGUAAUUCAUAAAAGUUACAAACCCGAAUUAAAGAUUUUGAGAUAAACAUGUUGAUGUAU
rnacentral:lncRNA from 1 species